rnacentral:rRNA from 1 species
UACGGGGGGAGCAAGCGUUGUUCGGAUUUACUGGGCGUAAAGCGUCUGUAGGUGGUCAAAUAAGUCAACUGUUAAAUCUUGAGGCUCAACCUCAAAAUCGCAGUCGAAACUAUUAGACUAGAGUAUAGUAGGGUAAAGGGAAUUUCCAGUGGAGCGGUGAAAUGCGUAGAUAUUGGAAAGAACACCGAUGGCGAAGGCACUUUACUGGGCUAUUACUAACACUCAGAGACGAAAGCUAGGGUAGCAAAUGGG